rnacentral:rRNA from 1 species
AACGAACGCUGGCGGCAUGCCUAAUACAUGCAAGUCGAACGAGAUCUUCGGAUCUAGUGGCGCACGGGUGCGUAACGCGUGGGAAUCUGCCCUUGGGUUCGGAAUAACUUCUGGAAACGGAAGCUAAUACCGGAUGAUGACGUAAGCCCAAAGAUUUAUCGCCCAAGGAUGAGCCCGCGUAGGAUUAGCUAGUUGGUGGGGUAAAGGCCCACCAAGGCGACGAUCCUUAGCUGGUCUGAGAGGAUGAUCAGCCACACUGGGACUGAGACACGGCCCAGACUCCUACGGGAGGCAGCAGUAGGGAAUAUUGGACAAUGGGCGGAAGCCUGAUCCAGCACUGCCGCGUGAGUGAUGAAGGCCUUAGGGUUGUAAAGCUCUUUUACCCGGGAUGAUAAUGACAGUACCGGGAGAAUAAGCUCCGGCUAACUCCGUG